GUUCGAUAGGGCGGCACCUUGACGGUACCUAACCAGAAAGCCACGGCUAACUACGUGCCAGCAGCCGCGGUAAUACGUAGGUGGCAAGCGUUGUCCGGAAUUAUUGGGCGUAAAGCGCGCGCAGGCGGUUUCUUAAGUCUGAUGUGAAAGCCCCCGGCUCAACCGGGGAGGGUCAUUGGAAACUGGGGAACUUGAGUGCAGAAGAGGAGAGUGGAAUUCCACGUGUAGCGGUGAAAUGCGUAGAGAUGUGGAGGAACACCAGUGGCGAAGGCGACUCUCUGGUCUGUAACUGACGCUGAGGCGCGAAAGCGUGGGGAGCGAACAGGAUUAGAUACCCUGGUAGUCCACGCCGUAAACGAUGAGUGCUAAGUGUUAGAGGGUUUCCGCCCUUUAGUGCUGCAGCAAACGCAUUAAGCACUCCGCCUGGGGAGUACGGUCGCAAGACUGAAACUCAAAGGAAUUGACGGGGGCCCGCACAAGCGGUGGAGCAUGUGGUUUAAUUCGAAGCAACGC
rnacentral:rRNA from 1 species